AUACGGAGGGUGCAAGCGUUACUCGGAUUUACUGGGCGUAAAGAGAGUGUAGGUGGUUUAUUAAGUCGGAUGUGAAAUCCCGGGGCUCAACCUCGGAACUGCAUUCGAUACUGAUAGGCUAGAGUUUGGGAGGGGUAAGCGGAAUUCCGUGUGUAGCAGUGAAAUGCGUAGAUAUACGGAGGAACACCUGAGGCGAAGGCGGCUUACUGGACCAAUACUGACACUGAGACUCGAAAGCGUGGGUAGCAAACAGGAUUAGAUACCCUAGUAGUCC
rnacentral:rRNA from 1 species